rfam:Peptoclostridium acidaminophilum DSM 3953 chromosome, complete genome.
GGGAGCAUAGCUCAGCUGGGAGAGCAUCUGCCUUACAAGCAGGGGGUCACAGGUUCGAGCCCUGUUGCUCCCA